rnacentral:rRNA from 1 species
UACGUAGGGUCCGAGCGUUGUCCGGAAUUACUGGGCGUAAAGAGCUCGUAGGCGGUUUGUCGCGUUGUUCGUGAAAACUCACAGCUUAACUGUGGGCGUGCGGGCGAUACGGGCAGACUAGAGUACUGCAGGGGAGACUGGAAUUCCUGGUGUAGCGGUGGAAUGCGCAGAUAUCAGGAGGAACACCGGUGGCGAAGGCGGGUCUCUGGGCCGAUACUGACGCUGAGGAGCGAAAGCGUGGGGAGCGAACAGG